GUGAACUUUACAGAGGGGAUUGACACGGGCUGCCUGCUGGGCGUCUGCUCUGGGGAAGACCAGGAAGACUUACUGAAGCAUUGGACUAUUGGCAAACAUAUCCCACAACAUCUGCUUUACAUCCGUACCUGCCGUUUAAGUUUCACUCAAAAUCACAGUUGAGUCAUGCAGGGAUUCAAGCACCCCCAAUAUUUUUCUCAGCUGCAGUCAUUUUUACCAUUGUACUGUGAAAUUUUGCAAGCGAAAUGCAGUCAUCUCAAUAGGAAUCUGUGCAAUAUUGAAUUUCAUGUGAGGAAUCUGACAGUGAGGACACGCUGUGGUGGAAAGAGAGGCUCACACAAUGAGCACAGUGGGAGGAUUUAACACAGACCGACUCCUCAGAUGAUUCACACACUUACAAAGUUAUCCAGAACUGACAGGUGGAUAUGCCACAUUUACUAUCGGGAUGAAGCUGCAGAUCUGUUUAUCCAUAUCAUCAGUUUAAUUAUCAUGAACUCUGUAUUUUGAAAUGCAAAAUAUAAUGUAACUUAUUAAACUUAAUAAAAUAUAACUUAUUUUGAUGUGUUGAAUAACA
ensembl:lncRNA